GGCGCGAUGGCCAAGUGGUAAGGCAAAGGUCUGCAACACCUCUAUCGCCGGUUCAAAUCCGGCUCGUGCCU
rfam:Clostridium sp. CAG:632 genomic scaffold, scf78